UCAAGCGAACAAGUGCAUGUGGUGGAUGCCUUGGCGAUCACAGGCGAUGAAGGACGCGGUAGCCUGCGAAAAGCUACGGGGAGCUGGCAAACGAGCUUUGAUCCGUAGAUGUCCGAAUGGGGAAACCCACUCCUUAUGGAGUAUCCAUGGCUGAAUACAUAGGCCAUGUGAAGCGAACGCGGUGAACUGAAACAUCUAAGUAACCGCAGGAAAAGAAAUCAACCGAGAUUCCCAAAGUAGUGGCGAGCGAAAUGGGAUGAGCCUUGCACUCUUUAUUUGUAUUGUUAGCCGAACGCUCUGGAAAGUGCGGCCAUAGCAGGUGAUAGCCCUGUAGGCGAAAACAGUAUGAAAGAACUAGGUGUGCGACAAGUAGGGCGGGACACGUGAAAUCCUGUCUGAAGAUGGGGGGACCAUCCUCCAAGGCUAAAUACUCGUGAUCGACCGAUAGUGAACCAGUACCGUGAGGGAAAGGCGAAAAGAACCCCGGGAGGGGAGUGAAAUAGAUCCUGAAACCGCAUGCAUACAAACAGUCGGAGCCUCGUAAGGGGUGACGGCGUACCUUUUGUAUAAUGGGUCAGCGACUUACGUUCAGUAGCAAGCUUAACCGUAUAGGGCAGGCGUAGCGAAAGCGAGUCCGAAUAGGGCGUUCAGUUGCUGGGCGUAGACCCGAAACCAGGUGAUCUAUCCAUGGCCAGGAUGAAGGUGCGGUAACACGUACUGGAGGUCCGAACCCACUAACGUUGAAAAGUUAGGGGAUGAGCUGUGGAUAGGGGUGAAAGGCUAAACAAACCUGGAAAUAGCUGGUUCUCUCCGAAAACUAUUUAGGUAGUGCCUCGUGUCUCACCUUCGGGGGUAGAGCACUGUCAUGGUUGGGGGGUCUAUUGCAGAUUACCCCGCCAUAGCAAACUCCGAAUACCGAAGAGUGCAAUCACGGGAGACAGACAUCGGGUGCUAACGUCCGGUGUCAAGAGGGAAACAACCCAGACCGCCAGCUAAGGUCCCCAAAUAUGGCUAAGUGGGAAACGAAGUGGGAAGGCUAAAACAGUCAGGAGGUUGGCUUAGAAGCAGCCACCCUUUAAAGAAAGCGUAAUAGCUCACUGAUCGAGUCGUCCUGCGCGGAAGAUGUAACGGGGCUAAGCCAUAUACCGAAGCUGCGGAUGCGAGCUAGUCUCGCAUGGUAGGAGAGCGUUCCGUAAGCCUGCGAAGGUGCCUUGUAAAGGGUGCUGGAGGUAUCGGAAGUGCGAAUGCUGACAUGAGUAGCGAUAAAGGGGGUGAAAGGCCCCCUCGCCGUAAGCCCAAGGUUUCCUACGCAACGUUCAUCGGCGUAGGGUGAGUCGGCCCCUAAGGCGAGGCAGAAAUGCGUAGCUGAUGGGAAGCAGGUCAAUAUUCCUGCACCGUCGUUAGAUGCGAUGGGGGGACGGAUCGCGGAAGGUUGUCCGGGUGUUGGAAGUCCCGGUCGCUGCAUUGGAGAAGGCGCUUAGGCAAAUCCGGGCGCAGGAUUCAAGGGUGUGGCGCGAGCUCCCUCGGGAGCGAAGCAAUUGGAAGUGGUUCCAAGAAAAGCCUCUAAGCUUCAGUCUAACGAUGACCGUACCGCAAACCGACACAGGUGGGCGAGAUGAGUAUUCUAAGGCGCUUGAGAGAACUCGGGAGAAGGAACUCGGCAAAUUGGUACCGUAACUUCGGGAUAAGGUACGCCCUUGUAGCUUGACUGGCCUGCGCCAGGAGGGUGAAGGGGUUGCAAUAAACUGGUGGCUGCGACUGUUUAAUAAAAACACAGCACUCUGCAAACACGAAAGUGGACGUAUAGGGUGUGACGCCUGCCCGGUGCCGGAAGAUUAAAUGAUGGGGUGCAAGCUCUUGAUUGAAGUCCCGGUAAACGGCGGCCGUAACUAUAACGGUCCUAAGGUAGCGAAAUUCCUUGUCGGGUAAGUUCCGACCUGCACGAAUGGCGUAACGAUGGCCACACUGUCUCCUCCCG
rnacentral:rRNA from 1 species